rnacentral:rRNA from 1 species
ACGGAGGAUGCGAGCGUUAUCCGGAUUCAUUGGGCUUAAAGGGUGCGUAGGCGGACUAUUAAGUCAGUGGUGAAAUCCUGAAGCUUAACUAGAGAACAGCAUCUGAAACUGAAAAACUAGAGUACAGAAGAGGUAGACGGAAUUCGUGGUGUAGAGGUGAAAUUCGUAGAUAUCGGGAGGAACACCAGUGGCGAAGGCGGUUUACUGGUCUGAUACUGACGCUGAGGCGCGAAAGCAUGGGGAGCAAACAG